rnacentral:rRNA from 1 species
GAUGAACGCUGGCGGCGUGCCUAAUACAUGCAAGUCGAGCGAAUGGAUUAAGAGCUUGCUCUUAUGAAGUUAGCGGCGGACGGGUGAGUAACACGUGAGUAACCUGCCCAUAAGACUGGGAUAACUCCGGGAAACCGGGGCUAAUACCGGAUAACAUUUUGAACCGCAUGGUUCGAAAUUGAAAGGCGGCUUCGGCUGUCACUUAUGGAUGGACCCGCGUCGCAUUAGCUAGUUGGUGAGGUAACGGCUCACCAAGGCAACGACGCGUAGCCGACCUGAGAGGGUGAUCGGCCACACUGGGACUGAGACACGGCCCAGACUCCUACGGGAGGCAGCAGUAGGGAAUCUUCCGCAAUGGACGAAAGUCUGACGGAGCAACGCCGCGUGAGUGAUGAAGGCUUUCGGGUCGUAAAACUCCGUUGUUAGGGAAGAACAAGUGCUAGUUGAAUAAGCUGGCACCUUGACGGUACCUAACCAGAAAGCCACGGCUAACUACGUGCCAGCCGCCGCGGUAA